ACUAGUGAAAUUUCUACGCUUCCCUGAGGAUUAACUGCUCUGCAAUUUACCAAGAACUAAAUCAAAAUGAAUGGAAGAGGAGAUGAAUCACAAAAUAACCGUAAUGGCCGACAGGUUAACCCAGAAAAUCUUCCAAGUGGAGAUCAGGAACCGCUUAUGAACCAGCUUAUGAACCUGUUG